UGCAGUUCGAGCGCUGCGUCCCAAUGUGGGGCAGGGGCGGGAUGGGGACGCGAAAGAGCCGGGGUGGGAGGAGCAGCCCGCGGCCGGGAUGAGAGGAGAGAGCACCGGCUAGGACGGGAGAGGAGGCUCUCUGCUCUUGGCUAGCUCGGGGCUGGCAACACCACCCGGCAACGCUAAGUCCCGUCGGAGUGAAAAGUGUCCUCACUAAAAACAGCGGCCUCCACAGCUCUUGCGGGAAGCCAGGUCAGAUAAGGAAGCAGGAGAGCAGUGGAAGGAGGGUGGUGCAGGGUCCAAAGUUCAUCGCCUGGGAUUCCAGGAGCUACUUGUCUCCUCUCCGGCCUGAGAGCCACCGGGACGAGAUAAAGCAAGCAGAAAACGGAGGGCGCGGGUCCAAGAGAGCCCAACGGACUGGGGGCGCGCCCAUCAUUUAGGACCUGGGGGCGGUGGGCAGGCUUUCGGCCCCAUUUGCUCUGCUCCCUUCAGCCUCAGGUUCUUUGGCUCUCACCAAAAGGCCUGGAAGCAGCCAAGCGCAAAGGCGCAGGAAGUCACCGAGGUUGCACCUGGCCCUGAUUGAUUUAGACGGGUCAAACUGUGGCUUUGCAGCAGACAACUUCACAAGGAAAACUUGAGUUAGGACCCCAGGGACGACAGCGCACAAAUCUCCUGUUCGCACGCUCCUAACCUGCUUCCUCUGGCUUCCCACUGGCAGCUAGCUCGCUUCCCCCGCGUCCGCGUCUCCUUUUUUUUCCUUUGCCUUGACCCAGGCUGUCAGUCAUACGCCGAGGGCGGAGCCUGUCUCUCCACCCCUCAGUCUCCUACUUAGCUGCCCGAGGAGCUGGAUUGGGAGUGGGCUAACAGGGAGUGGACUCCGGUAUUACUUGGGCCACCAGCCUGCCUUGGGGGACCUGAUGAAAGACACUGCUAACCGCUUGUGGGAGCUGGGAGAUUCCAAGCUUUUUGUGAGGAAGAGCUACUUUUUGGUUUCGAAGUUCCAAGAUUUCCUGAUACAGGAGGAGAGAGGAUGUGACAAGCAAGUACCUGAACAAUUUUUUGUGAGUAUUUAGGGGGUAGAGGAGAGAGGAAAAGAGUAAGAAGUGUGUAUGUGUG
rnacentral:lncRNA from 1 species